rnacentral:rRNA from 1 species
GACGCUGGCGGCGUGCUUAACACAUGCAAGUCAAGGAGAACGGAUCCUUCGGGAUACUAUUAAACUGGCGAACGGGUGAGUAACGCGUAGGCAACCUGCCUUGGAGAUUGGGAUAACCCCGGGAAACCGGAGCUAAUACCAAAUAAUGCAGCGGAUCCUUCGGGAUAUGUUGUUAAAGUGGGCUUCGGCUCACACUUCAAGAUGGGCCUGCGUCCGAUUAGCUUGUUGGUGAGGUAAUGGCUCACCAAGGCGAUGAUCGGUAGCUGGUCUGAGAGGAUGAUCAGCCACACUGGGAUUGAGAUACGGCCCAGACUCCUACGGGAGGCAGCAGUGGGGAAUUUUGCGCAAUGGACGAAAGUCUGACGCAGCAACGCCGCGUGAUCGAUGAAGCUUCUAGGAGUGUAAAGAUCUGUCGUGAGGGAAGAAAAAUCUGGAUGUAAAUAAUGUUCAGACGUGACGGUACCUCACAAGAAAGCACCGGCUAACUUCGUGCCAGCAGCCGCGGUAAUACGAGGGGUGCUAGCGUUGUCCGGAAUUACUGGGCGUAAAGGGUUCGUAGGCGUCUUGCCAAGUUGAUCGUUAAAGCCACCGGCUUAACCGGUGAUCUGCGAAUCAAAACUGGCGAGAUAGAAUAUGUGAGGGGAAUGUGGAAUUCCUGGUGUAGCGGUGACAUGCGUAGAUAUCAGGAGGAACACCAAUGGCGAAGGCAGCAUUCUGGCACAAUAUUGACGCUGAGGAACGAAAGCGUGGGGAGCAAACAGGAUUAGAUACCCUGGUAGUCCACGCCGUAAACGAUGAGUACUUGGUGGUGGGGGAUUCGACCCCUUCACUAUCGGAGCUAACGCGUUAAGUACUCCGCCUGGGGACUACGGCCGCCAAGCUGAACU